CCUACGGGAGGCAGCAGUGAGGAAUAUUGGUCAAUGGGCGCGAGCCUGAACCAGCCAAGUAGCGUGAAGGAUGACUGCCCUACGGGUUGUAAACUUCUUUUAUAAAGGAAUAAAGUGAGGCUCGUGUGCUUUUUUGUAUGUACUUUAUGAAUAAGGAUCGGCUAACUCCGUGCCAGCAGCCGCGGUAAUACGGAGGAUCCGAGCGUUAUCGGGAUUUAUUGGGUUUAAAGGGGGCGAAGUGGGUUGUAAAGGUCAGUGGUAAAAUUGGCGGCCGAAACCUCAAAUUGCAGUUGAUACUGGGAGUCUUGAGUGCGGGUGGGGUAGGCGGAAUGCGUGGUGUAGCGGUGAAAUGCUUAGAUAUCACGAAGAACUCCGAUUGCGAAGGCAGCUUACU
rnacentral:rRNA from 1 species